rnacentral:tRNA from 1 species
GGGGGUAUGGCGCACGCUUAACAUGCGUGAUGCCCUGGGUUCAAUCCCCAGUGCCUCCA